rnacentral:sRNA from 1 species
GACGCGUCCAGUGGGCGGGAGACACAA